CCUACGGGGGGCUGCAGUGAGGAAUAUUGGUCAAUGGGCGAGAGCCUGAACCAGCCAAGUCGCGUGAGGGAGUACUGCCCUAUGGGUUGUAAACCUCUUUUGUCGGGGAGCAAAAGCCGGACGUUUCCGGCUGUGAGAGUACCCGCAGAAAAAGCAUCGGCUAACUCCGUGCCAGCAGCCGCGGUAAUACGGAGGAUGCGAGCGUUAUCCGGAUUUAUUGGGGUUAAAGGGUGCGCAGGCGGAUUUGUAAGUCAGCGGUCAAAUCGUGGGGCUAAACCCCAUCCAGCCGUUGAAACUGGGGAUCUAGAGUGUGCGAGAGGUAUGCGGAAUGCGUGGUGUAGCGGUGAAAUGCAUAGAUAUCACGCAGAACCCCGAUUGCGAAGGCAGCAUACCGGUGCACAACUGACGCUCAGGCACGAAAGCGUGGGUAUCGAACAGGAUUAGAUACCCGGGUAGUC
rnacentral:rRNA from 1 species